rnacentral:rRNA from 1 species
CAAUAGCGUAUAUUAAAGUUGUUGCAGUUAAAAAGCUCGUAGUUGGAUUUGUGGUGGCUCCUGCGGUCCAAAAAUGUUUUGGUGCUGUUGGCGGCUGCCAUCUUUGGGUGGAACCUGUGUGGCAUUAGGUUGUCGCGCAGGGGAUGCCCAUCGUUUACUGUGAAAAAAUUAGAGUGUUCAAAGCAGGCUUACGCCGUUGAAUAUAUUAGCAUGGAAUAAUGAGAUAGGACCUUGGUACUAUUUUGUUGGUUUGCGCACCGAGGUAAUGAUUAAUAGGGACAGUUGGGGCUAUUCGUAUUCCAUUGUCAGAGGUGAAAUUCUUGGAUUUCUGGAAGACGAACUACUGCGAAAGCAUUUAGCAAGGAUGUUUUCAUUAA